rnacentral:lncRNA from 10 species
CUGCUGAAGGAACUCUGAUAAAACAAAUGCAGGAGGCUGAUGCCUACAGACUACAUUCCCUGGAUGCCCCUUCUGGAAUGCUGGACGUUUGAGGAGCGAGGAAGGAGAGAGAGAGAAUCCAACCUGAUAUCUUUGCUUGUAACUGAAUCUCCAAAGGACUGUAGCUCCUGCAGGGUGAUCUCUCUCCAAGAUCAAGCUCUCAGUGUGCUCUGUGUUUCUCCUCUUGUCCCUUCAAGC